GACGAACGCUGGCGGCGUGCUUAACACAUGCAAGUCGAACGGAAAGGCCCUGCUUUUGUGGGGUGCUCGAGUGGCGAACGGGUGAGUAACACGUGAGUAACCUGCCCUUGACUUUGGGAUAACUUCAGGAAACUGGGGCUAAUACCGGAUAGGAGCUCCUGCUGCAUGGUGGGGGUUGGAAAGUUUCGGCGGUUGGGGAUGGACUCGCGGCUUAUCAGCUUGGUGGUGGGGUAGUGGCUUACCAAGGCUGUGACGGGUAGCCGGCCUGAGAGGGUGACCGGCCACAUUGGGACUGAGAGACGGACCAGACUCCUACGGGAGGCAGCAGUGGGGAAUAUUGCACAAUGGGCGGAAGCGUGAUGCAGCAACGCCGCGUGCGGGAUGACGGCCUUCGGGUUGUAAACCGCUUUCGCCUGUGACGAAGCGUGAGUGACGGUAAUGGGUAAAGAAGCACCGGCUAACUACGUG
rnacentral:rRNA from 1 species